CAAUAGCGUAUAUUAAAGUUGUUGCAGUUAAAAAGCUCGUAGUUGGAUUUCUGGUCGGAAGCUCCUGUCCUCUGAUGAGCGUACAAGUGCGUCCUACCAUCCUUCUGUUAACCUUUAAGGCUUUCGCGGCUUUCUAGGGGCUCAGAUAUUUUACCUUGAGAAAAUUAGAGUGUUUCAGGCAGGCUAGCGCCGGAAUACAUUAGCAUGGAAUAAUGGAAUAGGACUUUUGCCUCUUCUGUUGGUCAUGAGGCUCGAGUAAUGAUUAAUAGGGAUAGUUGGGGGCAUUAGUACUUAACUGUCAGAGGUGAAAUUCUCGGAUUUGUUAAAGACUAACUUAUGCGAAAGCAUUUGUCAAGGAUGUUUUCAUUA
rnacentral:rRNA from 1 species